rnacentral:ribozyme from 1 species
AACAACAGAAGAAAAAGAAGAAAGACAGAAGGAAAAGAAGAAGAAGGUCCUUGUAUCCUCCAACAUUGUACAUAUUCAUUCCCUUCUU